rnacentral:rRNA from 1 species
CCCUUAGAUGUCCUGGGCCGCACGCGCGCUACACUGAUGAACGCAACGAGACCACCUGUACCGAAAGGCAUGGGUAAACUUGUGAAAGUUCAUCGUGAUGGGGAUAGAUUAUUGCAAUUAUUAAUCUUCAACGAGGAAUUCCUAGUAAGCGCGAGUCAUCAGCUCGCGUUGAUUACGUCCCUGCCCUUUGUACACACCGCCCGUCGCUCCUACCGAUUGAAUGGUCCGGUGAAAUCUUCGGAUUGCUGGAUAGGACUUCAUUGACCUAUCUGCGAGAAGUUGCUUGAACCUUAUCAUUUAGAGGAAGGAGAAGUCGUAACA